AGCAGCCGCGGUAAUUCCAGCUCCAAUAGCGUAUAUUAAAGUUGUUGCAGUUAAAAAGCUCGUAGUUGAAUUUCGGAAUCUGUCCAUCGGUCGGGCUUCACUGUCCGUACUGGUGUGGUGGGUUCUUACCUUCUGAAUAACCAGCAUGCCAUUCACUUGGUGCGCUGGGGAAGCAGGACUAUUACCUUGAAAAAAUUAGAGUGCUCAAAGCAGGCUAGUGCCUGAAUACAUUAGCAUGGAAUAAUAAAAUAGGACGGCAUGGUUCUAUUUUGUUGGUUUCUAGGAUCACCGUAAUGAUUAAUAGGGAUAGUUGGGGGCAUUAGUAUUCAAUUGUCAGAGGUGAAAUUCUUGGAUUUAUUGAAGACUAACUUCUGCGAAAGCAUUUGCCAAGGAUGUUUUCAUUAAUCAAGAACGAAAGUUAGGGGAUCGAAGACGAUCAGAUACCGUCGUAGUCUUAACCAUAAACUAUGCCGACUAGGGAUCGGAUGAUGUUAAUUUUUUAAUGACUCA
rnacentral:sRNA from 1 species